rnacentral:lncRNA from 1 species
ACUGUGCUGGAUGCUUGGCUAGAUAAUAUGCUGUCCUUCUUCUGGUCUCUGUAUUUUUGUGUGUGUAUGUUUUAAGAAGAUGACAUUCUUCAACAUUGUAAGGUCAGUAAUCUGACAAAUGUAAUUUAGUAGUAUUGGGGCUCGGAAAAUGACACCCCAAAACAUGCUGAGAGCUUUGAACAAAGGAGAUUAAAAUGCUCCAGAACGAAGCCUCAGAACCAAUGUUUCUCUCUGACCUUCUGCUCCUUCCACAACUUCUCUGCUGAAGUGCAGGGAGGUCCUUUCUCUGAAGUUCCCUUAUCUGACUGAGGGAAGGAAGUUCUUCCAAAAGGAACACAAUGGUCUCGAAUCCUUUCCCUAGGAAACUCAUUAAGCAACCAGGAAAGAUUAAUCACCACAGAGGAGAUUAAUUCAUCACUGCAGGCAGACAGGCUAUCACCUAUUCUUUUGGAUGCAGCUCUAAAACAACUUUUAUCUGAAUAGUAAGACAGCCUUUGCUCAUCAUUUGGUUCCUCCCCUUUCCCUCCCCUAACUUGUUGCUACUUCCCCCCAAUGCUUCAGGUUCCCAUUCCUUUAUGCUAUUUACGUUUCAGCUAUCUGGCCCUUCUCAGAGUCUCACAUUUUAUUUGGCUCCUGUGCAUAUUAAUAAAUCUGUAUGUCUUUUCUCCAAUUAAUCUGUUCAUUAUCAGUUUAUUUCAACAGCCUCAAUUGACUCUUCAGAAGGUUAAACUUUUGUAGGCUAUUUUCCCCUUAAAAUGAACUAUAUUUCAUCUUCCCUCUUUAGGCCUACUUGUUGGUAAGCUAUAGAACAAGCUUGUCCAACUUGUGGCCCAUGGACCACAUGUAGCCCAAGAUGGCUUUGAAUGGGGCCCAACACAAAUUUGUAAACUUUCUUAAAAUAUCAUGGGUUUUUUUGCGAUAUAUAUAUAUACAUUUUAAAGCUCAUCAGUUACUGUUAUGGCCCAAGAAAAUUCUUCUUCCAAUGAGGCCCAGGAAAGCCAAAAGAUUGGACUCCCCUGCUAUAAAGUUUGGCUUUCAUGGAGGUAGUGGGGGAGGUGGUCCCAAAAUAGACCACUGAUUUGCCAAAUUUAAAAAUUAAGGGUUUUCAUAUUCAGAACCAAAAUUACUGUAAAGACUGACCUCACUGGUGAUGUCACAAUCACAUUUCAAAAACAAUAGAGUAUUUCCUGUGAUUUAAAUUCUAAAUCAAAAUUAUUCAUAGGCCAGUUCUAGAUUCUUUUGCUGUUCCCUUUCCCUCUACGGCAAGUCUUGCCAACAGGAUGAGACUCCCUUGUCAACUAUGAUGAUUAAUUUUACGUGUCAAUUUGAUUAGGCCACAGAGUGCCAAGAUACUUAGUCAAACAUUAUUCUGGGUGUUUCUGUGAAAGUGUUUUAAGAUGAGAUUAACACUUAAAUCAGUGGCAUGGAUAGACGGGAUUGCUUCCAUCAUGUUGACUUGAACUGAAACUUUGGCUCUUCCUGGGUCUUGAGCCUACUGGCCUUUGAACUGGAACAGCAACAUUGGCUCUCCUGGUUCUCAGACCUUUGGACUCAGACUGCAACUAAACCAUCAGCUUUCUUGGGUCUCCAGCUUGCCAGCUUACCUUGAAGCAGAUCUUGGGACUUAUCAGCUUCUGUAAUCACUGCUUCAAACAAACGACAGAGGAUAUCACAAGGACAUGGGAGCCAGCUCAAUAGUUUCUACUGACCAAAUCUAAGGCAACUUGAGCAUCAAAGUAAGUAUGGUAAAAUUAAUUUUAAAAAAAACAUUAAAAAGCAUGAGUUUAUAACAAUAACAGAUGUAAAAAUGAGAUGGAUAUAGAUGGAUGAAUGAAUGGAUGGAUCAGGGGAGAAAGGAGGGCUCCUGCUUACAAUAAAAUAUUAAUUGCCAACUGGUACAUGUGGAAAGAAUGCUGAAGUUGAAGACUGAAUAAUCAAGAAUCAUCAAUGCAUGCUAAAUCCUGGAUGAAAAUGUUGUUAGCAUGGACUUAAGAGAGUCUCCCACAGGUUGCUUAUUAAUCGCAAUGUAAAACACAGUAACUAUACAUUGGAGAAACUGAACACUACCUUGAUCAGGUGAUCAAAAUUAGCAUCACCAAUAAGACAGACAUUGUGUGCCCCCAAUAUCAUACCAUGAUGACAUAGUACCAUCAACAGAGUGUUCUCGCCAAGAAUGCAUACCUUAAAUCCGAUUCAAUGCUAUAAACGACCAAGGUGGCCAUGGAAAUGAUCCACAGUAAAGGAGACUUAAGGAAGGACAAAUGAAAAAGCAAACAAUAAAAUGAAGAGGGUAAAAUCUGAAUAAUAGUUGAAUUUUAAAGGACAUACAGAUGUUCUUUGCACUAUUCUUAUGCUUGCAAAUUUUCUGUAAAUUUGAAAUUAUUUCCAUAUAAAACGUUUAAAUCAAUUAAGACAGCUCAAUAACAAGUUCUCAACCUGUUUUGCCUGAUUAGGCUUUUAAAAGUCAUUUUAAAAAAACUGACUCUACAUUUUUUACAAGUGUGGAAAGACAGUAUUUUAAACAUCUAAAACAGCAAUAAUCUCCAUGAUCCUUUAAAAUGAGUACAGUUAGAUUUAUGAAAAAACAAUCACAUUGCUCUAAUUUCUCUCAUUUUCCUGUGGACCAGGGAGAGGUUUCUCAAAUUGGUGUUUGGGAACUAAUAUCCCAAACAAGACGUAUUUUCAGUAAUAGAGGGAGUACAGUUCAGUGGAAAGAACAUGGAAUCUGGACACAAAUUUAAACUGAGGCCCUAGCAGUUACCAGCUGUGUACCCUAAGCUCUGUCAGUUUCCUCAAUUGUAAGAUAGCUAAAUCAUAGGACUGUUAAGAGAAUUAUGUAAACGUAACUAGUGCUUGACACAGAGAAGGUGCUCAACAAAUUUGUUUUCCUCCUCUUCCUUUCCUCUGAAGCCACUUUUCUGUUCUCUGGAAAUGAAUCUAACUGGGGCCACUCUGGCCUUCUUUUAACACAAACUCAGCCCUGUUGGAAGGAUCACAUAAGAAACUAAAGUACUCUAAGAAUAAGCCUCCUUUGUGGAGGAAUAUUUCAUGAAAACAGAAGCCAGAGAUAAUGGAUAGUAGAAUAAUAUGGAAGGCUUAUAAAAACAGGUGAUUUGAGGCAUGUCUGGUAACUUGAGUUCUUUUAAAGGAGGGUAAAGACAGCAGAAGGAGUGAUGAUGUUAGAUAAUGUUAGAAAUGAUGUUUAAAAAGUCUGCUGCAAAUAAAACAGUGUCUUUUUUCUUCAUAUAUCCACAAGUCUAUUCGGCAAAUGAUCACCCAUCUACCUCCAAGAGUGAAUGAUAGUUUAUGCCAAAAAUAAAUAAAGAUCAGCAUUCUAUUUGUCUUACUGGCUACAUAUCUUUGAAGAAAAAAAAAAAUCAGGUCAGUAAAAUGUUCAUUAAUUAAGAGAUUUCAUCCAAUUUUCAUCUAAUUGCCUAUUUUUUUUUGCUCCUUUCAACAUAUUUUCAUUUACAUUUAACAGGAUGUUCUACUUUUAUGGUGCCAAUGAUAAUUCUUUAAAAAUCUGUUUUUUAAAAUGGAGAAAAAAUAAAAUAACUUGAGUUGCAUAACAGCAAAAAAAUAUACUGUCAACAGAAACUUAGUUUAACGUCUAAAAUCUUUAUAAAAGAUAAGCAAAUUCUGAUUUUUUCCCUUUAUUUUAUAAUUGAAAAAUGAAACCACUUAACAUGAACACUUGAUACAUAAUUUCCUUAAAACUUCUCUAUGGUGAAAUAAAACUGUACCUAGUUGAAGAGUGUAUAUAAUAUUAACACUCAUGACAAUUUCAAUCCAACCGUUGAUAUAGCUUCAAAUUACUAUUAAUUGUGGCUAUUUUUUGGGAAAAAAUUGUGCAAAGCUUAUGAGGGCCCAGUAUACGAAAGGCUUAAUUUUUAAGAGUCAAAUCUACAUUUGUCACAAGAGUUCAAAAAGUGGCAUUAUAGUGCAAAAACACUAGAAAAUGCUAUCUCUUACUCAUAAGUC